GGAUCGGGUAACUUAUUUUAAUGAAUUCCCAACCAUCAUGGGAGGAGCUUCUCCACACCACGCAUUGCCCUGACACCAACCAGGCCGGCUGCCCAGGAGGCACCACGCACCCAAUGCACUCCCCUAGUGCUACCAAUGCUACAGGCGGUGCAGCAGCACAGGAUGGUUCAAGGAAGACAAAAAGAACAAAGAUCACAGACACUGCAGAUACACAGCAGGCAGACAUCAGGGAAGGCUCAGGAACUGACAGCGUCUUUGGACCCACACAGACAGGAAUCUUUUUGGAUAAAAAGACGCAGAUUAUUGCAGGAAGUCUGAGAACAAUGCUUGACUAUUUAAGGACAGCAGUGUUUCCUUUCUGAACAUCAGCAUCAUUAAUUUGCUUUGGAGUCCAGCCAGAUUCCAUCUGAUGCCUGCUCUCCUGUUAAGGUGGAAAAGUAUGCACAAAAUCUUGCUCAGUGUUACCCAGACAUAAUGGCCUAUAUGUCUACUCGCAUGCAUUACAUCUUUGUAAUCUGUCCAUGAUUGCCACAAGAUAUUAGAGCAGUAUAAAAAAGCUCAAAAAGCUACACAAUUCCUGGGUGAAAAAAGGGUCAUUGAGGAGCAUUAAAAUCAAAUGCUGGUGAUUACUGCAGCUGGGAAGGUGCUGCCUGACCACUUUUGCCUUGUCCCAGUACUUCCAUUUCAUCCUGCAGCACAUUGUGCCCAUCUGCAGCCUUACCGGCCACACAGAGCUUCCACCCCCCACCAUAAACACAGAGAAAAAAGCACAGAUGUGGGUGACAAGUCGUGGGCCAGUCGUUAAAGGAUAAAUUACACAGGAUUGAGAAAUUCACAGGAAAGGAUGGGGUAAGAGCCCUUUGCACAAGGAGUUAAAGAUUAUUUCCAAACAUUAACUGCAGUAACAGAAAUCACAAUUGCUUUGCCAGUCACACGCAACACCAGAAAGUCCAAGCCUUUCUCUGUACGUCAAACCUGCAGCAGAGCAGACCAAGUAACACUCUCCAUUAACUGAUUGGAUGGAGCGGCUUGGCAUUUAUUCUGCUGGGGGCAAGGUGCUUUUCUCCAGUCUGUAAUUAUUUUUUUUUUUAAAUCCUUGCCUCUACCCAAACACACGUCUCCUGCCCAUGUGCUAAAGAGCUUAAUUUCCCCUUCAUUUUCCCCUCCAACUGCUUCUAUUCCUUAUGUCAUCGCUGAUGACAUAGUUUGCUCUAGGCCCUUGGUAACCAAGUGCAAAACAGGUAUUCAAAACACAGGCCACUUCCCUGGCUGAGCAAGGGUUUGUUGCGGGGCAGAAAAACUAAAUGCUUAAAAGUUACCUGGUUGAGUAAAGAUCACACUGGGUGUCUGAAGAGCAUCGUUCCCAGCCUGCCUGCCUUCUGCAAACCCCACACGGACUUAAGGAAUGGGGUGACCACAACAACACGUCAUCCUGCUCAUUCCUGGCCCUCGGAUCCGUGUGAUGCGACUGUCACCCCAAAGAUGCAUUGUGCUCAAUGGCUCUGUAACAGACAAUGACCAACAGAUGUUCAGCACCAUGCUUUAACCCUCCUGUCCCCGGCACUGCAACGUCUCCCAGAUGUGGGUCUGCCCUGAUUGCUCCCAGUAACACAACGCACACCUCCAGCUUGACGUCUGAAGCAUCUUCACGGAGCGCACGGUGCGUGCUUCAGCACGCUGGCUUCAUGGGAGCAGCCUGCACUGGGGCUGGAUGCUGACGCGCUGUGCAUGCCCUUGGUAGGGGAGAAGGGCAGCGAGAUGCCAGAGAUCCCACAACUCCAAUAUGCAUGUGAGCUCAAA